rnacentral:lncRNA from 13 species
CAGGGAAUUUUGCCUUCCACUCUCUUUGUUUCUUCUUUCUUGCACGCUUAGGUAGGGAAAAAUCAUUGGUUAUGUUGAUCAAAUGGAUCUUCACAAUGACUCAGCGUUUUUCUCAGUCACUUUGCCAACAAGGGACCUCCACAGCCAGCAAUGUCCUGGGCCUGCUGCCAGAGGUACCCCGCCCAUUCAGCCUGCCUGUGUUACAGCCUGUACCCGCAUUUGGCAGAUAUCUUCUCCAUGUGCUGCUAUUGGAUCCCAGUCCUUGUGUUUAUGCUUUUGUGAUAACGGACCCAGGUAAAGUGCCAAUCUCUUGGUCUCCAUCGGCAGUGGUUGCCUUCUCUAACUUCUCAACUAAUAUAAAAGGAUAUUUAUUGGCUCUGGUGGUUGUGAUUCUGGCCAACAACAUGUAUAUGUGACAUCCAAAAAGGACGGAGUGCUGGAAGCUUAUAUAGUCAGGGAGGAGUCUGUAUUUUGCCUGUCCCAGGACUCUGCCUGCGGGCAAGAACAGGUCAGAGAAAGGGAGGAAAGUUGCAACUAAAGAGCAGACCACCAAAGAGGAGACCACAUGACCGUUCCACUCCAGGACUCAGAUGUGAUUCGUCUAGGCUUAGCAGGUAGAGAUAAGAGCUUCAGAAUGAAUAUGAGGCUGCGGUUUCAUAAAAUUCUAAAUAAAAAAAGUCACUGCUUUGUAAAGAAUGACUAA